rnacentral:rRNA from 1 species
CUUGAACGCUGGCGGAAUGCUUUACACAUGCAAGUCGAGCGGCAGCGCGGGGCAACCUGGCGGCGAGCGGCGAACGGGUGAGUAAUGCAUCGGAACAUGUCCAUGUCGUGGGGGAUAGCCCGGCGAAAGCCGGAUUAAUACCGCAUACGCCCGAGAGGGGAAAGUGGGGGACCGCAAGGCCUCACGCGAUUGGGUUGGCCGAUGUCCGAUUAGCUAGUUGGCGGGGUAANGGCCCACCAAGGCGAUGAUCGGUAGCUGGUCUGAGAGGAUGAUCAGCCACACUGGGACUGAGACACGGCCCAGACUCCUACGGGGGCAGCAGUGGGGAAUUUUGGACAAUGGGGGCAACCCUGAUCCAGCCAUUCCGCGUGAGUGAAGAAGGCCUCGG